rnacentral:rRNA from 1 species
ACGGAAGGCAGCAGUGGGGAAUAUUGCACAAUGGGGGAAACCCUGAUGCAGCGACGCCGCGUGAGUGAAGAAGUUAUUCGUAACGUAAAGCUCUAUCAGCAGGGAAGAAAAUGACGGUACCUGACUAAGAAGCCCCGGCUAACUACGUGCCAGCAGCCGCGGUAAUACGUAGGGGGCAAGCGUUAUCCGGAUUUACUGGGUGUAAAGGGAGCGUAGACGGUCUGGCAAGUCUGAUGUGAAAGGCAGGGGCUCAACUCCUGGACUGCAUUGGAAACUGUCAGUCUUGAGUGUCGGAGAGGUAAGCGGAAUUCCUAGUGUAGCGGUGAAAUGCGUAGAUAUUAGGAGGAACACCAGUGGCGAAGGCGGCUUACUGGACGAUAACUGACGUUGAGGCUCGAAAGCGUGGGGAGCAAACAGGAUUAGAUACCCUGGUA